GACCAGUUCUCAAAUGUCUGCCUUGGCUGCCUGGGAGUCUCAGAAUGGAUUUUAGAAAUACUUGGAUUGGCUUUUAAUAUUUUAAUGCUUUCAACAUAUGAACUUUCUUGAACUCUCAGGUCCUCAGGUACUAAUAUUUGAACAAUCCCAAAAUCUGAACCAGAACUCACGGUGAAGCCUCUUUCCGAGACCACAACCACCGUCUGUGAAGCAGGCGGCCUGAGGAUCUAAAGUCAGCUGCAAAUCAAGCGUAGCCGGCACCUCCGCUAGAAGCGCGCCGGGACACGCCCCUGCUCAUUCUUCCCGCAUCGCAGCCACGCGCCUCCACGGCUGCAGGCAAUCAGCAAUCUGCACACAUGGGUCUGAUGAGGGCAGAGGGCAUAAAGACCAGCGGACCCGAAAAUCCAGUGCCGGAACGUAGUUCAUUCUUGUAUAUUUCCUCAGUAUCCUGUGAUCUAGCUGUGCGCCUCGACUUCCCACCGGACUUUGGACUGCUUUCCUCGAUCCUCGACCCCCGCUUGGACAUGGACCUCGUCGCCUCUCUCCAGACCCCGAUCUCUCGCUUGCCCACGGACUGUCUUCUUGCCUUGACCCUCUGGACUGUCGAAGGAUUCAUCCAACACGCACAAACAACAACCUCUGGUAACAUUUACAUUGCUAAAUCUUCACAUCGUCUUGCACCAUUCACUUAGAGUAGCAUACACACCCCAACAUAUCAUCAGCUUCAAUAAACCUAUUGAACUGAUCCCUGCCAUUGUGUCGUCUCCUUCCCCCGCCGUACGUAACAAUUUCCCCGUUGUGGGAUAAAUAAAGUAAAUCCUAUCCUAUA